rnacentral:lncRNA from 1 species
CCGUUACAUGCUUGUCUCUUGUUGUAGAUUUCAAGAUUCUCUUUUUCAUGCUAUAAUAUAUAGCACCAUUUCUUAUUAAAUAUUGGCAAUAAAGAAGCAACGUUUUGUAAAAUAACAAACAAAUGUAACAACGUUUUGUCAAAGAAAGAAUAAAAAAGGUAACAACGUGAUUCUCGAAUUUGCCAGCUAGUUUCACGAGUAGCCAUUGAAGAAAACAAAA